rnacentral:lncRNA from 1 species
AUUCAUUUUUUUUAUUCUUUUUUUAUUAAAUUUUAAGAGGAUGUUUGGAUGGAGAGAGUGAGGAUUUGGAAUGGGUGACUCCUAUGCCAUCUGUUUGCACCACACUUCAUCUUUUUCUCAAUUCAUUCCAUGCUCUAUUGUCCAUCUAUUUAUACAAAUCUUAAUUCACACCAUUUUCUAUCGUUCGGCCUAUAUAGAUCUCAAAACAAUCCAUCUUUUAUCAUCCAUCUGCCUGCAU